CGGGUUUUUAAUUACUGUACAAAAUUUCAGACAACUUGGUUUAGUUUAAGCCCUUUAACAAUUCAUUUUGUUCUAAAAAGUCAGCCUUUCGCAUGCUUAAUUAAUGCCUUUACCUAAUUUGCAUAUUGCUGACAUAUGCAAAUUAGGCAAAUGCAUUAAUUAAGCAUGCAAAUAGCUGAUUUUUCGGGAAAAUUGUAACUUUGCGUGAAUAGUUAAG